rnacentral:piRNA from 1 species
AAAUAGCCAUAACCAUCGUGAGAG